GUACUUGCUUCAGCAGCACAUACACUAAAAUUGAAACUAUACAGAGAAGAUCAGCAUGGCCCCUGUGCAAGGAUGACAUGCAAAUUCAUGAAGUGUUCCAUAUUUUU